GAUGAACGCUAGCGAUAGGCCUAACACAUGCAAGUCGAGGGGCAUCACAUGAAGUAGCAAUACGGAUGGUGGCGACCGGCGCACGGGUGAGUAACACGUAUGCAACCUGCCUUCAACAAGGGGAUAACCCGUUGAAAGACGGACUAAUACCCUAUAACACAGGGGUCCCGCAUGGGAAUAUUUGUUAAAGGACAACCGGUUGAAGAUGGGCAUGCGUUCCAUUAGCUAGUUGGCGGGUAACGGCCCACCAAGGCAACGAUGGAUAGGGGAACUGAGAGGUUUAUCCCCCACACUGGUACUGAGACACGGACCAGACUCCUACGGGAGGCAGCAGUGAGGAAUAUUGGUCAAUGGACGUAAGUCUGAACCAGCCACGUCGCGUGAAGGAAGACGGCCCUACGGGUUGUAAACUUCUUUUAUACGGGAAUAAAGUGCCCCACGCGUGGGGUUUUGCAUGUACCGUAUGAAUAAGGAUCGGCUAACUCCGUGCCAGCAGCCGCGGUAAUUACG
rnacentral:rRNA from 1 species